rnacentral:rRNA from 1 species
AGUGAACGCUGGCGGUAGGCCUAACACAUGCAAGUCGAACGGCAGCACAGUAAGAGCUUGCUCUUACGGGUGGCGAGUGGCGGACGGGUGAGGAAUACAUCGGAAUCUACUUUUUCGUGGGGGAUAACGUAGGGAAACUUACGCUAAUACCGCAUACGACCUACGGGUGAAAGCAGGGGAUCUUCGGACCUUGCGCGAUUGAAUGAGCCGAUGUCGGAUUAGCUAGUUGGCGGGGUAAAGGCCCACCAAGGCGACGAUCCGUAGCUGGUCUGAGAGGAUGAUCAGGCACAAUGGAACUGAGACACGGUCCAGAAUCCUACGGGAGGCAGCAGUGGGGAAUAUUGGACAAUGGGCGCAAGCCUGAUCCAGCCAUACCGCGUGGGUGAAGAAGGCCUUCGGGUUGUAAAGCCCUUUUGUUGGGAAAGAAAAGCAGCAGGUUAAUACCCCGCUGUUCUGACGGUACCCAAAGAAUAAGCACCGGCUAACUUCGUG